AGUGAACGCUGGCGGUAGGCCUAACACAUGCAAGUCGAACGGCAGCACAGUAAGAGCUUGCUCUUACGGGUGGCGAGUGGCGGACGGGUGAGGAAUACAUCGGAAUCUACUUUUUCGUGGGGGAUAACGUAGGGAAACUUACGCUAAUACCGCAUACGACCUACGGGUGAAAGCAGGGGAACUUCGGACCUUGCGCGAUUGAAUGAGCCGAUGUCGGAUUGGCUAGUUGGCGGGGUAAAGGCCCACCAAGGCGACGAUCCGUAGCUGGUCUGAGAGGAUGAUCAGCCACACUGGAACUGAGACACGGUCCAGACUCCUACGGGAGGCAGCAGUGGGGAAUAUUGGACAAUGGGCGCAAGCCUGAUCCAGCCAUACCGCGUGGGUGAAGAAGGCCUUCGGGUUGUAAAGCCCUUUUGUUGGGAAAGAAAAGCAGCAGGUUAAUACCCCGCUGUUCUGACGGUACCCAAAGAAUAAGCACCGGCUAACUUCGUG
rnacentral:rRNA from 1 species